UCUGGUUGAUCCUGCCAGUAGUCAUAUGCUUGUCUCAAAGAUUAAGCCAUGCAUGUCUAAGUAUAAGCACUUGUACUGUGAAACUGCGAAUGGCUCAUUAUAUCAGUUAUAAUUUAUUUGAUGGUCAUUUACUUGGAUAACCGUGGUAAAUCUAGAGCUAAUACAUGCAUAAAAUCCUGACUGGGAACGGAAAGGAUGUAUUUAUUAGAUACAAAAACCAAUGCAUCAGGCUCUCGGGUCUGGUGGAAAAGAUGGUGAUUCAUGAUAACUUUACGAAUCGUGUGGUCUCGUACCGACGAUAGUUCAUUCAAAUUUCUGCCCUAUCAACUUUCGAUGGUAGUAUAGAGGACUACCAUGGUGGUAACGGGUAACGGAGAAUCAGGGUUUGAUUCCGGAGAAGGAGCCUGAGAAACGGCUACCACUUCCAAGGAAGGCAGCAGGCGCGCAAAUUACCCAAUCCCGACACGGGGAGGUAGUGACAAUAAAUAACGAUGCGGGUCUCGACAAGAGCCUCGCAAUCGGAAUGAGCACGGCUCAAACCCCCUAACGAGUAGCGAUUGGAGGGCAAGUCUGGUGCCAGCAGCCGCGGUAANNNNNNNNNNAUUACCCAAUCCCGAAACGGGGAGGUAGUGACAAAAAAUAACAAUACCGGUCUUAUAUAAGUCUGGUAAUUGGAAUGAGUACAAUCUAAACCCCUUAACGAGUAUCAAUUGGAGGGCAAGUCUGGUGCCAGCAGCCGCGGUAAUUCCAGCUCCAAUAGCAUAUAUUAAAGUUGUUGCAGUUAAAAAGCUCGUAGUUGGAUUUUAGAGUUAUUUUUUAGUAGAGUCCGCUUGAAAAGAGUGUGUAUUUUACUAGUAGCUCUCCUUACUAGACAUUCACGGUCAUUCUUAACUGAGUGGUUGGUCUUGCUCGCAAGGGUGAGGUGCUUGGUGGGUCUGGGGGCGAGGAUGUGGUCUUUCUACGGGGCAACCUGUGGGGAGAUCUGCCUGGUUCACUUCCACGAAGUAGGAUUCUAGUUCAUUUACUUUGAGUAAAUUAGAGUGUUCAAAGCAAACGUACAAUUUUGUAAUGAAUACUAUUAGCAUGGGAUAAUGGAACAGGACGUUGGUUCUAUUUUAUUGGUUUCUAGAACUAAUGUAAUGAUUAAAAGGGAUAGUUGGGGGCAUUAGUAUUUAAUUGUCAGAGGUGAAAUUCUUGGAUUUAUGAAAGACUAACUUCUGCGAAAGCAUUUGCCAAGGAUGUUUUCAUUAAUCAAGAACGAAAGUUAGGGGAUCGAAGACGAUCAGAUACCGUCGUAGUCUUAACCAUAAACUAUGCCGACUCGGGAUCGGUGGGCGGUGUUUACGACCCCAUCGGCACCGUGUGAGAAAUCAAAGUCUUUGGGUUCCGGGGGGAGUAUGGUCGCAAGGCUGAAACUUAAAGGAAUUGACGGAAGGGCACCACCAGGAGUGGAGC
rnacentral:rRNA from 1 species